GACAGAGGAGCCAAGCGUUGUCCGGAUUGACUGGGCGUAAAGCGCACGCAGGCGGUGGAGCGCGUGGGGUGUGAAAUCUGGCCGCUUAACGGCCAGGCGCCAUCCCAUACGGCGCGACUGGAGUGAUGCAGAGGUCGAUGGAAUUGCCGGUGUAGUGGUGAAAUGCGUAGAGAUCGGCAGGAACACCCAGGGGGAAACCAGUCGACUGGGCAUCUACUGACGCUGAGGUGCGAGAGCGUGGGGAGCGAACCGG
rnacentral:rRNA from 1 species